UACGAGAGGCCCAAAACGUUAUUCGGAAUUACUGGGCUUAAAGAGUUCGUAGGCGGCGCAGAAAAGUAGGGUGUGAAAAGCCCUCGGCUCAACCGAGGAAUUGCGCUCUAAAACUACUGUGCUUGAGGGACCUAGAGGUGAGCGGAACUGAUGGUGGAGCGGUGAAAUGCGUUGAUAUCAUCAGGAACACCGGGAGGCGAAAGGCGGCUCACUGGGGGGUCUUCUGACGCUGAGGAACGAAAGCCAGGGGAGCGAACGGGG
rnacentral:rRNA from 1 species